rnacentral:rRNA from 1 species
UACGUAGGCGGCAAGCGUUGUUCGGAAUUAUUGGGCGUAAAGCGAACGUAGGCGGUUUCUUAAGUUUGGUCUUAAAGACCGGGGCUCAACCCCGGGAAUGGAUCGAAAACUGGGAGACUGGAGGAUGUCAGAGGAAAGUGGAAUUCCGAGUGUAGCGGUGAAAUGCGUAGAUAUUCGGAGGAACACCAGUGGCGAAAGCGACUUUCUGGGGCAUUCCUGACGCUGAGGUUCGAAAGCGCGGGGAGCAAACAGG